rnacentral:rRNA from 1 species
AUCCCGUGAACCAUCGAGUCUUUGAACGCAAGUUGCGCCCGAAGCCUUCGGGCCGAGGGCACGUCUGCCUGGGCGUCACGCAUCGCGUCGCCCCCCUCCCCCCCCGCUCCUCCCACGGAGCGGCCUGGGACGGGGGGGCGGAGACUGGCCUCCCGUGCGCUCCCGUCGCGCGGCCGGCCC